rnacentral:rRNA from 1 species
CCUACGGGUGGCAGCAGUGGGGGAUAUUGCACAAUGGGGGGAACCCUGAUGCAGCGACGCCGCGUGGGUGAUGGAGCGUUUCGGCACGUAAAGCCCUAUCGGCAGGGAAGAAGAUGACGGUACCUGACCAAGAAGCCCCGGCUAACUACGUGCCAGCAGCCGCGGUAAUACGUAGGGGGCAAGCGUUAUCCGGAUUUACUGGGUGUAAAGGGGGCGUAGAUGGCAAUGCAAGCCAGGUGUGAAAGCCCGGGGCUCAACCCCGGGACUGCAUUGGAAACUGGAAGGCUGGAGUACAGGAGGGGCAAGCGGAAUUCCUAGUGUAGCGGUGAAAUGCGUAGAUAUUAGGAGGAACACCAGUGGCGAAGGCGGCCUGCUGGACUGUGACUGACGUUGAGGCUCGAAGGCGUGGGGAGCAAACAGGAUUAGAUACCCUUGUAGUC